ensembl:snRNA U7 U7 small nuclear RNA
AAAAGAAUAUAGCUGUUUUAGAAUUUGUCUAUAGGUUUUCUGUUUUACCAGAAGACCAAU